rnacentral:rRNA from 1 species
CGGGUUAACCCUAACCCACUCAGGGAGGGAUACACUUGGAAACAGGUGCUAAUACCGCAUAACAGUUUAUGCCGCAUGGCAUAAGAGUGAAAGGCGCUUUCGGGUGUCGCUGAUGGAUGGACCCGCGGUGCAUUAGCUAGUUGGUGAGGUAACGGCUCACCAAGGCCACGAUGCAUAGCCGACCUGAGAGGGUGAUCGGCCACACUGGGACUGAGACACGGCCCAG